rnacentral:rRNA from 1 species
UACGGGGGGGGCAAGCGUUGUUCGGAAUUGCUGGGCGUAAAGGGCGCGUAGGCGGCGGAGAAAGUCAACGGUGAAAGCUCGGGGCUCAACCCCGAGUCGGCCGUCGAUACUUCUCUGCUUGAGCACUGUAGAGGCAGGUGGAAUUCCUGGUGUAGCGGUGAAAUGCGUAGAUAUCAGGAGGAACACCGGUGGUGUAGACGGCUCACUGGACCGUAACUGACGCUGAGACACGAAAGCGUGGGUAGCAAACAGG